CUUUUAAUAUCUGGCACACAUUUUUGGAAAAGUUCCCACUGUUAACGAUCAAUAAACAAGAUGACUGACGAGAAAAGAGAAAUAUAUGACACUAUUUAUUUUUUAAACACUUAUUUCUGUGAAGAAACUUUGCAAAGUUUUGAAAAAGUGAAUAUUGCAUUUUCACCAGUUUUACUACAGACAUUUCUGUCAAUGAUAUUCCAAGAUCAAACCUACCGUUACAGAAACAAUUUUAAGUCAGCACUGCGUCUUUGGAACAAUGAAGAUUUAUAUAUUAAAUAUUAUAAAGAGUUUAUAUCAUUCCUUCACUCAAUAAAUAAUGAAAGUUUUUCACUAACAGGAAAGAUAUUUGUUAAUGAUAAUUUCAAACUGCAGGAUAAUUUUAAAAAUAUUGUAAACGCCUUUCGUUACGAAAUAGAUACUGUCGAUUUCAACAAAAAGGAGACCUGUACGAAAAUUAUUGAUUAUUGGGUUGAAGACAAAACACGCAGUCUUGUAAGAGAUCUAACAUCUAAUAAUAAUUUAAACGAGAGUACACAUCUAGCUCUGUUAGAUGUUGCGUGUUUUAAAGGAAAUUGGGAUAGUACUUUUAAUAUAGAACUUAACACAAGGUCGUUUCAUUUAAAUGCAAAUGACAGCAUUGAAACACAAAUGAUGAAAAUGACGGGCGAGGUAUACUACAAAUUUGAUGAAGAUAAUUCAAUUACAGCUAUAGAAUUGCCUUUUACUUCUGAAAAGUUCAGUUUAAUUCUUAUUUUGCCUGAUAAAGGAAAAUGUCCCAUAGAUACGUUGUGGAGAGUAACUGAAAAUAUGAUGAAGAAAAUGGUUGAUAUCUCGUUACCAAAGUUCAAAGUAGAACAACUCAUGGAUUGUAGAAAUAUUUUUCCUAAAUUAAGGCUGAAAGAAGAAUUUCAGGAUAAUGUUUAUUUGUUUGAUAUGCUCCAAAGCGACGAAUUUCUCAAAUACGCUCAAAUAGAAGAAAAGGGAUUUAUUAAUAUUGACGAAGAGGGAAUAGAGGCAGCAAGUGGGCUUCUUGUCACGAUGGUGCCAGUGGAGUUUGACAAAGAGUAUAUAUCACCAGAUGGAUUGAAGAUGCCAGAAAUCACCAUAAAAACUACCAUUUCCAACCGAUUUGCUAAAACUUUAGUAACAUGUCGGGUCCAAAACAACGACAAGUCUGCUAAAGAGGCCACUUUCAAUGUUGUAUUACCUGAAAAAGCCUUUAUUACAGAAUUUAUCAUGGAAAUGAACGGCAAAAAAUAUAAAUCUUAUAUAAAAGGGGUGGAAGAAGCUAAAGCCAUUUAUGACGAGGCCUUAGCCAAAGGAAGAAGCGCAGGAAUUGUCGCAGCUGACACACGAGAUUCGACUCAAUUUAAUGUGUCCGUAAAUUUGGAACCUCAAUCUGUAGCCGUAUUUUUACUAACCUACGAAGAGAUGCUCCAGCGUAUUCAUGAUCAGUAUGAACUUGUUUUAAAUAUUUGCCCACGGCGAAUUGUAGACAUCAUAAAUGUGGAGGUAAACAUUAAUGAGAGUAGACGACUUACGUUUGUUAAAACACCUCCGCUUAGAUCGGGAAAGGAAGUGAAUAAAACAAUCGAGCAAUUUCUUGUACCUUCAUCUGACGCAAAAAUAAUAAACUCGAAUUCAUCUGUUGUCAAAUUCUCUGCCGAUGUGAAACAACAACAAAAAAUUUGCACCUACUUUGGUACUCCUACUUCAGAUGGAUUCACUGGCCAAUUUGUUGUACAGUAUGACGUCGAAAGAGAACCUAAAGAUGGAGAGAUUCUUCUUCAGGAUGGAUAUUUCGUGCAUUUCUUUGCACCGAAUGAUUUAGAUCCUUUACCUAAGCACAUUGUUUUCGUAUUAGACACCAGUACCAGUAUGAUAGGGAGAAAACUUGAUCAACUAAAAGACGCUAUGAUGAGUAUUUUAAACGACGUCAGAGAUGGAGAUUUAAUAAGUAUAAUUGAAUUUAAUGGACAUGUUAUCAUUUGGGAUAUCGAAUCUGAGAAAUCAAAGUAAUAACUUGUAAUCAAUUCCAAAAUUUUUUGGAACCAUUUCAAACGCUUGGUGAAUUCUCAUUGCCCAGUUCAACACUUGCGAAUGAUGCAACGAUAAGUAAAGCUAAAAACGUUGUGCAAAGCAUGUUUGGUCAGGGAACA